rnacentral:rRNA from 1 species
AGCAGCCGCGGUAAUUCCAGCUCCAAUAGCGUAUAUUAAAGUUGUUGCAGUUAAAAAGCUCGUAGUUGAAUUUUAGGCCUGGCCGGGCGGUCCGUCUUUGGCGAGUACUGUUCUGUGUUGGGUCCACCUUCUGGUGAACCAGUAUGUCCUUUAUUGGGUGUUUUGGGGAGCCAGGACCAUUACCUUGAAAAAAUUAGGGUGUUUAAAGCAGGCAUUUGCUUGAAUAGAUUAGCAUGGAAUAAUAGAAUAGGACGUUGUGGUUCUAUUUUGUUGGUUUCUAGGACCACCGUAAUGAUUAAUAGGGAUAGUUGGGGGCAUUAGUAUUCAAUUGUCAGAGGUGAAAUUCUUGGAUUUAUUGAAGACUAACUAUUGCGAAAGCAUUUGCCAAGGAUGUUUUCAUUAAUCAAGAACGAAAGUUAGGGGAUCGAAGACGAUCAGAUACCGUCGUAGUCUUAACCAUAAACUAUGCCGACUAGGAAUCGGGCGACGUUAUUUUCAUGACUCGCUCGGCGCCUUAUGG